AUUGAAACACCAGUUCUCAUCUGAUCACCAAAGUUAAGCAACAUUGAGCCUGGUCAGUACCUAAAUGGGUGACUACUUGGAAAUACUAGGUGCUGUA